GACGAACGCUGGCGGCGUGCCUAACACAUGCAAGUCGAGCGAUGAAGUUUCCUUCGGGAAAUGGAUUAGCGGCGGACGGGUGAGUAACACGUGGGUAACCUGCCUCAUAGAGGGGAAUAGCCUCCCGAAAGGGAGAUUAAUACCGCAUAAUAUUACAGUUUCGCAUGAAACAGUAAUUAAAGGAGCAAUCCGCUAUGAGAUGGACCCGCGGCGCAUUAGCUAGUUGGUGAGGUAACGGCUCACCAAGGCGACGAUGCGUAGCCGACCUGAGAGGGUGAUCGGCCACAUUGGGACUGAGACACGGCCCAGACUCCUACGGGAGGCAGCAGUGGGGAAUAUUGCACAAUGGGGGAGACCCUGAUGCAGCAACGCCGCGUGAGGGAUGACGGUCUUCGGAUUGUAAAGCUCUGUCUUUGGGGACGAUAAUGACGGUACCCAAGGAGGAAGCCACGGCUAACUACGUGCCAGCAGCCGCGGUAAGAC
rnacentral:rRNA from 1 species